rnacentral:rRNA from 1 species
CCUACGGGUGGCUGCAGUGAGGAAUAUUGGUCAAUGGCCGGAAGGCUGAACCAGCCAAGUCGCGUGAAGGAAGAAGGAUCUAUGGUUUGUAAACUUCUUUUAUAUGGGAAUAAAACGUUCCACGUGUGGGAUUUUGUAUGUACCAUAUGAAUAAGGAUCGGCUAACUCCGUGCCAGCAGCCGCGGUAAUACGGAGGAUCCGAGCGUUAUCCGGAUUUAUUGGGUUUAAAGGGAGCGUAGGUGGAUUGUUAAGUCAGUUGUGAAAGUUUGCGGCUCAACCGUAAAAUUGCAGUUGAAACUGGCAGUCUUGAGUACAGUAGAGGUGGGCGGAAUUCGUGGUGUAGCGGGGAAAUGCUUAGAUAUCACGAAGAACUCCGAUUGCGAAGGCAGUUCACUGGACUGCAACUGACACUGAGGCUCGAAAGUGUGGGUAUCAAACAGGAUUAGAUACCCCAGUAGUC